GACGAACGCUGGCGGCGUGCCUAAUACAUGCAAGUUGAGCGCUGAAGGUUGGUCCUUGUACCAACUGGAUGAGCAGCGAACGGGUGAGUAACGCGUGGGGAAUCUGCCUUUGAGCGGGGGACAACAUUUGGAAACGAAUGCUAAUACCGCAUAAAAACUUUAAACACAAGUUUUAAGUUUGAAAGAUGCAAUUGCAUCACUCAAAGAUGAUCCCGCGUUGUAUUAGCUAGUUGGUGAGGUAAAGGCUCACCAAGGCGAUGAUACAUAGCCGACCUGAGAGAGUGAUCGGCCACAUUGGGACUGAGACACGGCCCAAACUCCUACGGGAGGCAGCAGUAGGGAAUCUUCGGCAAUGGACGAAAGUCUGACCGAGCAACGCCGCGUGAGUGAAGAAGGUUUUCGGAUCGUAAAACUCUGUUGGUAGAGAAGAACGUUGGUGAGAGUGGAAAGCUCAUCAAGUGACGGUAACUACCCAGAAAGGGACGGCUAACUACGUG
rnacentral:rRNA from 1 species